UCGAAGAUUAGAUUGAUCAAGACGAUUAGACGACGACGUUGAUGAUGAUGAUUGUCGUCAGUUUGAUGUAGUCGAACUCUAGGGAAUCAUUCCGCAUGUGGGCCCGUUGCAGUUGCUUGAUGGAAUCCCGCACAGUGAUGGGCAACAUCUCCGUGGAGUCGCGAAUGUUCAGCACCAGUGGCUGCUCCUCUCCAUCGUCGCUGGGAUGCACCUGCAGCGUAAUGGAACCGCCAGCGGAUACAUGAGCAGCAUAUACCGACAAUCAGACAAUCAUCUAAAAUGUAACUUUCGUUUAGAAUCCAAUGCAAAAAAAGAACUCUGGCCCUUACAUAAUUCACGAACUCCCGACAAGUAGGACAAUCAGAAUCUGACAGUGCCGCUGAAUAUUUCUUGGCCUGUGGGACCACUUGAAGAGUGUUGCUGAUGCCGGCAGCUAUUCGGAAACGACUUUUCUGACGCUCUUGAACUGCGCUCGUGAACCGCAACCCGCCCGGAAAGUGUGAAAAGCUCCGUACUCUCUCAUCCCCAGAAACCUUGCACUGCUUCAUAAAUUGACUGGAGAGACCAAUCGAGCCCCCCAUUCCUCACCACGAUGUGUGAACAUGAUACCAGAACAGUAGACGUAAUAUUGAAAAUCCAUUGCCCAAAACAACACAAUUUUCUGUCCCCAUGCUAUUCCGCUUCAUUCGGUGUGUGGUGUUUUAAAUUUAUAUGUGAAGUUCGGAUUUGAAUGGAUGUGUGGGUUGGAGUGCUGGCGUGACGAAUUUAAGGGUCUUGUUUCAACCCUCGCGAGAGCCAGCACUGUGAACCAGAUGACAGACAUCUUGUAGCGACGCCAUAUCAAUUCAAUCAAAUAAAUGAGGCGGACAAUCAAUGGAUUGGGGGAGAGUCCAAUUGCAGCGGCAUGUAGCUCAGAGAGAUACCCUCUUACUUGACGACUCACUCUGGAUUUACAGAUUGUUGAGCUCACGCAAGGCCCAGGCCUAAUAUACGCCUCGCCCCAAGAUCUUGUCCUGCUGGCUUGUGUUUUCUAAAUUGAGCUGCCCAGACAAUUGCACAAUUUACUGAAGAAUGCGUCACUUAAAAACGCAUUAUUCAAUUUAUGCCAUCUAUCCUCCAGAUGAAUCUGCAAUGAAUGUUUGUCGGUCUAGUACGAGUAUUUUCACGUAGUAGGAAAUUGAAAGUCAAAAAAAUCAUACGGUCCUAGAGCUACACUUGGGAUUAUCGUCAUUAUAAUUGUGCGGAGACAGGCCUCGCCACAUCAGAGUUAAGAUAUAUGUAUAAAAAUACAUAUUUAUUUACAUUAGAAUUCUUCAUUCGAACUAAAAUUUGUUGUAAUAAUUCAAAUGUAUAGCGAAGUGCUUUAGGGGUAUUCUUUCACAACACACGUUUUUUACCAUUAGCAACAUUUAAAAAUUGUUUCAUCAAUUUCAUCCAUAUAUUAACAUCCAGAUCAGCUAAAUUGGUUGUCGACAAUAAGUAGUAGUGCUAUGUAGAUAUUUUGCUAGGUGCCCAGUGUGACCAAAGUGGGAAUAGUGAAUGAUCUACGGUUAAACUGUUUCCGUUUGCUUACAAAUAAAAUCUGU